rnacentral:lncRNA from 1 species
GCUUCUUUUCCUCACUCCCAGUGUCCUCCCAAGUUCUUCUGCCAUGCUAAUCCCUGAUUGCAUAAUAAGAACCUGGACCAAUCAAAAUUUUGGAUCAAGCUAUGGUGGUAGCUCUGUUCCAUGAUGUUAUUGAAGUUAACUACUGGCCCACUCACAGAGCCUAUGGAUUUUUGCAAGGACGAUCAUGACACAUAUAUCUGGGUAAUGCCUGAAUCUAAGAAGAGCAGCAAGAAUGCAGUGUGUGAUGGAGCGCCUUGGGAAGCAGACUGUGGCAAAGGGCCCUAUUAACUUUUUCAUUAGUCAUUUUUAACCACAUUGCACAUUAACACUUCAGCACACUGCACAAAAUAGCAAUUUAGGCUUUUUACUCAGCUACAUUUAGGAGGAAAGUGGAACAGAAUUAAAUACAAUCUAGAAAACAAAUAGUACAAAAAUGUCAUGAAUAUUAAUAGAAAUUCAGAUAAAUGUAAUGUAUUUGAGUUUGUAUCACAAAA